rnacentral:piRNA from 1 species
CAGUGAAUGAGGGAACGGAACUG